rnacentral:rRNA from 1 species
UACGAAGGGUGCAAACGUUGCUCGGAAUCAUUGGGCGUAAAGCGCACGUAGGCGGCUUGCCAAGUCGGACGUGAAAUCCCUCAGCUCAACUGAAGACGUGCAUCCGAAACUGGCGAGCUUGAGUACUGAAGAGGAUCGCGGAAUUCCCGGUGUAGAGGUGAAAUUCGUAGAUAUCGGGAGGAACACCAGUGGCGAAGGCGGCGAUCUGGGCAGAUACUGACGCUGAGGUGCGAAAGCGUGGGGAGCAAACAGG